AGGGCACACUGUCCUGGGCAGCUGCAGUAGCUAACGGCUUGAUCCUUUUAUACUGGAAUGGCAGAUGAGAAAAGGGAGACCCAGAAAAACUGAGUUACAUGCUAAAGUUGUUAUAGAAAUACUCUCCAGCCAAGCCCCUUGCCCUUGCCAGAAUGGUUCUGAUCACAUUGGCUCUUGAGGUUAAGGAAGAAGGAAACAUUCCUGUGGGUGGAGGUGCCUAAGGAAGGCAUCCUCUCACAUUGGGUUCAAAGCCAAGAUCUUUGCUCCGUGAAGUCCUAUUUUCAUGGGGUUGAGACAAAAACCCCAUUUACAGAUGAAAUUGUUGCUCAUGCUGGCAAACUGAAGCAAACUGACUGCCUGGAGAUGGUGUGCUUUGUUAAUUCAGCAUCAAGCUGUUGUCCUGGAGGGGGAAAUAUCUCUCUCUACCUCUUUCUGGUCAUCUCGUGGCUGAACUAAUAAUAAAACUGGUAC
ensembl:lncRNA